GACGAACGCUGGCGGCGUGCUUAACACAUGCAAGUCGAACGGUAAGGCCCUUCGGGGUACACGAGUGGCUAACGGGUGAGUAACACGUGGGUGAUCUGCCCUGCACUUCGGGAUAAGCCUGGGAAACUGGGUCUAAUACCGGAUAGGACUCCUGGCUUCAUGGUUGGGGGUGGAAAGCUUUUGCGGUGUGGGAUGGGCCCGCGGCCUAUCAGCUUGUUGGUGGGGUAAUGGCCUACCAAGGCGACGACGGGUAGCCGGCCUGAGAGGGUGACCGGUCACACUGGGACUGAGAUACGGCCCAGACUCCGACGGGAGGCAGCAGUGGGGAAUAUUGCACAAUGGGCGCAAGCCUGAUGCAGCGACGCCGCGUGAGGGAUGACGGCCUUCGGGUUGUAAACCUCUUUCAGCUAUGACGAAGCGCAAGUGACGGUAGUAGCAGAAGAAGGACCGGCCAACUACGUGCCAGCAGCCGCCGCGG
rnacentral:rRNA from 1 species